rnacentral:rRNA from 1 species
UACGUAGGGGCCGAGCGUUGUCCGGAGUUACUGGGCGUAAAGCGCGCGCAGGCGGUUUCCUAAGCCCGGCGUGAAAGCCCCCGGCUCAACCGGGGAGGGUCGUCGGGGACUGGGGGACUUGAGGACGGCAGGGGCCGGUGGAAUCCCCGGUGUAGUGGUGAAAUGCGUAGAGAUCGGGGGGAACACCCGUGGCGAAGGCGGCCGGCUGGGCCGUUCCUGACGCUGAGGCGCGAAGGCGUGGGGAGCGAACGGG